rnacentral:rRNA from 1 species
UACUAGAGUAGCACUCGCAUAUCAAUAAGCGGAGGAAAAGAAACUAACAAGGAUUCCCCUAGUAACGGCGAGUGAAGCGGGAAGAGCUCAAAUUUGAAAUCUUAAAGGGUUUCCCUUUACGAAUUGUAGUUUAAAGAAGUGCUUUCUGUUGAGGUUUUGGUAAAAGUUCUUUGGAAUAGGACAUCAUAGAGGGUGAGAAUCCCGUAUUUGACCUUUACUUUCAACUUUGUGAUACACAUUUCAAAGAGUCGGAUUGUUUGGGAAUGCAGUCCAAAAUGGGUGGUAAAUUUCAUCUAAAGCUAAAUAUUGGCGAGAGACCGAUAGCGAACAAGUACCGUGAGGGAAAGAUGAAAAGAACUUUGAAAAGAGAGUUAAACAGUACGUGAAAUUGUCAAAAGGGAAGCGUUUGACACCAGUGUUGUUUUUCUGAAAAUCAAUUAAAGAACUGUUUAUGCUAAGUUGUUUAGACUUUAUCAGCUAACUGUUUAGUUUUGAGCUUUUCUUUAAUGCACUUUUCAGUUAACAAGUACAACAUCAAUUUCUUUUGCUGUAAAAAAGCUUGAGGAAGGUGGCUUGAGAUUCGUCUUAAGUGUUUAUAGCCUCUUGCCUAUGCAGUCGGAGAGAUUGAGGUCUGCAGCGUAGAUCCUUCGGGGCUAAAUGCAUUUGUGCUAAGUUAUAGCAUUUUAUAGACAACUUGUUGACUAUGAUUUGUCUUGUAGCUUACUCGCUUAUGUUAUUUUACCUACGCUUAGGAUGUUGAUAUCGCGCUCUCACUG